rnacentral:tRNA from 1 species
GUCGCCGGUGGCGGGGUAUUCAGGGGGUGUUCGCAUCAUCCCCACGGAGGUUCCGAUGGCUUUCGACGACA